rfam:Micromonospora echinofusca strain DSM 43913 genome assembly, chromosome: I
CUUCACCGAGCCGAGCCACAGCGGGUCCGCACGGUCCUGGCCGUACGUGGCCAGCAGCGCCUGCGCCUC